AAAGGGAGACCUAAUUCAGGUAAGAGACGAAAAAAAAGUAGUCGCUACCAAGAAUCAAUCCCAAAAGGUCGGAGCGAGGCGAAAUUGGCUUUCAAACUAGGUUCUGGGUUCAAACAAGACCUGAAUCAGGAACAAGGGCUAUUAGCUCAGGUGGUUAGAGCGCACCCCUGAUAAGGGUGAGGUCCCUGGUUCGAGUCCAGGAUGGCCCACCUGCACAGGUGGCAAAAACAAGAGAAGCGAGGAAUCAGCACCUUAUCUUACUGACAUAGUAAGAGAGAAUGCUGGCUCUGAGUAAAGAGUCCAGAGGAACCUUGAAAACUGCAUAGGGCUAGGUGAAAAAGCCAAAAAAGAAGACCGCAAG
rnacentral:tRNA from 1 species